AAAAACUGAGGUGGUAUAGGAUGGACCCGCGUCUGAUUAGCUUGUUGGUGGGGUAACGGCUCACCAAGGCGACGAUCAGUAGCCGGCCUGAGAGGGCGACCGGCCACAUUGGGACUGAGACACGGCCCAAACUCCUACGGGAGGCAGCAGUGGGGAAUAUUGCACAAUGGGGGAAACCCUGAUGCAGCGACGCCGCGUGAGUGAAGAAGUAUUUCGGUAUGUAAAGCUCUAUCAGCAGGGAAGAAAAUGACGGUACCUGACUAAGAAGCCCCGGCUAACUACGUGCCAGCAGCCGCGGUAAUACGUAGGGGGCAAGCGUUAUCCGGAUUUACUGGGUGUAAAGGGAGCGUAGGUGGCAUGGUAAGCCAGAAGUGAAAACCCGGGGCUCAACCCCGCGGAUUGCUUUUGGAACUAUCAGGCUGGAGUGCUGGAGGGGUAAGCGGAAUUCCUAGUGUAGCGGUGAAAUGCGUAGAUAUUAGGAGGAACACCGGUGGCGAAGGCGGCUUACUGGACAGAAACUGACACUGAGGCUCGAAAGCGUGGGGAGCAAACAGGAUUAGAUACCCUGGUAGUCCACGCCGU
rnacentral:rRNA from 1 species